rnacentral:rRNA from 1 species
UACGGAGGGUGCAAGCGUUAUCCGGAUUUAUUGGGUUUAAAGGGUGCGUAGGUGGAAUUAUAAGUCAGUGGUGAAAGUUUGCGGCUCAACCGUAAAAUUGCCAUUGAAACUGUAGUUCUUGAGAAUAUUCGAAGUAGGCGGAAUGAGUAAUGUAGCGGUGAAAUGCAUAGAUAUUACUCAGAACACCGAUUGCGUAGGCAGCUUACUAGGAUAUUUCUGACACUGAUGCACGAAAGCGUGGGUAGCGAACAGG